rnacentral:rRNA from 1 species
CCUACGGGUGGCUGCAGUGAGGAAUAUUGGUCAAUGGGCGUGAGCCUGAACCAGCCAAGCCGCGUGAGGGAAGAAGGUACAGUGUAUCGUAAACCUCUUUUGUCAGGGCAUAAAGGCUGGGACUAGUCCCCGUAUGUGGGUACCUGAUGAAAAAGCAUCGGCUAACUCCGUGCCAGCAGCCGCGGUAAUACGGAGGAUGCGAGCGUUAUCCGGAUUUCUUGGGUUUAAGGGGUGCGAAGGCGGCCUGUUAAGUCAGCGGUAAAAGCCUGGGGCUAAACCCCGGCGAGCCGUUGAAACUGGCGGGCUGGAGUUGGAGAGAAGUACGCGGAAUGCGCGGUGUAGCGGUGAAAUGCUUAGAUAUCGCGCAGAACCCCGAUUGCGAAGGCAGCGUACCGGCUCCACACUGACGCUGAGGCACGAAAGCGUGGGUAUCGAACAGGAUUAGAUACCCUGGUAGUC